CGGAGAGACAGGGCUCGAUGGCCGCCGGAGUUGAGGAAGACAGCGCGGCCGGCUCGGACUUUGAGCGUGCGCUCGCUGGAGUCUGCUAGCAUCCGCGAGGACCGGCUGGAGCGGCAACGCCGGAGUGGAGCUUCGGGUCGAGCUCGAUGUGCUCGGUUUGGAUGCGUCCCUGAGAAAAACUGGGAGUCGGGGAGAUAGAGUAUAGCAUGGCGAAGAUAACAAAGAAGACAAGAGGUUCUGGGAACCUACAGACGGGACAGAAUCGACGGCGAUAGGAGCUUCGGGGCGGCGGACUCCAGCGAGAUCGGGCGAGGUGAAACGGGCACGGGAGAUCUCAGUUUUGCGAAAAAUCGGACAUGAAGAGGUAGGAGACUAUUUAUACGGUGGUGGGCGUGCACGAGGAGCAAAGGAUCGAUCAAAUCGAUCGAGUUUGAAUCGGCUCUGGCUUCCGCUGCUACAGGAAUCUCUGAUGAACACGAACCAGAGAGAGAUGACAGCGGGACAG
rnacentral:rRNA from 1 species